GAUGAAGAACGCAGCGAAAUGCGAUAAGUAAUGUGAAUUGCAGAAUUCAGUGAAUCAUCGAAUCUUUGAACGCACAUUGCGCCCGCUGGUAUUCCGGCGGGCAUGCCUGUUCGAGCGUCAUUUCAACCCUCAAGCCCCCGGGUUUGGUGUUGGGGAUCGGCUCUGCCCUUCUGGGCGGUGCCGCCCCCGAAAUACAUUGGCGGUCUCGCUGCAGCCUCCAUUGCGUAGUAGCUAACACCUCGCAACUGGAACGCGGCGCGGCCAUGCCGUAAAACCCCAACUUCUGAAUGUUGACCUCGGAUCAGGUAGGAAUACCCGCUGAACUUAAGCAUACAAUAAGCGGAGGA
rnacentral:misc_RNA from 1 species